GACUGCGAGACUAGAGUGUGGCAGAGGGGGGUAGAAUUCCACGUGUAGCAGUGAAAUGCGUAGAGAUGUGGAGGAAUACCGAUGGCGAAGGCAGCCCCCUGGGCCAACACUGACGCUCAUGCACGAAAGCGUGGGGAGCAAACAGGAUUAGAUACCCUGGUAGUCCACGCCCUAAACGAUGUCAACUAGUUGUUGGGGAAGGAGACUUCCUUAGUAACGCAGCUAACGCGUGAAGUUGACCGCCUGGGGAGUACGGUCGCAAGAUUAAAACUCAAAGGAAUUGACGGGGACCCGCACAAGCGGUGGAUUAUGUGGAUUAAUUCGAUGCAACGCGAAAAACCUUACCUGCCCUUGACAUGCCAGGAACUUUCCAGAGAUGGAUUGGUGCCCGAAAGGGAACCUGGACACAGGUGCUGCAUGGCUGUCGUCAGCUCGUGUCGCGAGAUGUUGGGUUAAGUCCCGCAACGAGCGCAACCCUUGCCAUUAAUUGCCAUCAUUCAGUUGGGCACUUUAAUGGGACUGCCGGUGAUAAACCGGAGGAAGGUGGGGAUGACGUCAAGUCCUCAUGGCCCUUAUGGGUAGGGCUUCACACGUAAUACAAUGGUCGGUACAGAGGGUUGCCAACCCGCGAGGGGGAGCUAAUCCCAGAAAGCCGAUCGUAGUCCGGAUUGUUCUCUGCAACUCGAGAGCAUGAAGUCGGGAUCGCUAGUAAUCGCGGAUCAGCAUGUCGCGGUGAAUACGUUCCCGGGUCUUGUACACACCGCCCGUCACACCAUGGGAGUGGAAUCUGGCAGAAGUAGGUAGCCUAACCGCA
rnacentral:rRNA from 1 species